UUUUGGUGUACUUCAGUCUGUCAGAUUUUCUUUCCUUUAAUUAUUUAUGAAAUUUUCCUCCCUCAAGGAAGAGGAAAAUAAAUACUGCUGCUAGCAAGAAAGUACUUUUAGAAUGGAGCCAUUCAAAAAGCAAGGGAAGGGACUGACAGAUGUUUAUCUUCAGUGUUCUUCAAGAACCAAACCAGAUCUAAAGUAAAUGUGUUUUUUUGUCUUGCAGCCCUGUCAGACCAUUUAGAAGCACAAAAGAGAACAGCUCGUGUUCGUGUCCAGACCUGCUCUGGGCCACACCUUGUUGCCAACAGGAUUUAGAAGAGGAUCUCUAACAUGAUCUGAGCUAAAAAUCUGUCGUGGCAUUUGUACCAUGGAACUGCCGAUACUGUGGGUCAUGUGUUGAAGGUCUGGUCACCGGUGCCUCUGGAUCGAGGUAAUACACU